GGAAUAUAAGAAUCCGCCUCUUAACUUUUAACUAAAAAAGCUAAGAACCGACUCUUAAAUAAGAGUUUUAAGAGCCGGUUCUUAAUUUUUUUAGUUAAAAGUUAAGAGACGAAUUAUUAUAUUCC
rfam:Brassica napus, WGS project CCCW01000000 data, contig: 1153